CGGAGUGGACGCAUCACUGGUGUUCGGGUUGUCAUGCCAAUGGCACUGCCCGGUAGCUAAAUGCGGAAGAGAUAAGUGCUGAAAGCAUCUAAGCACGAAACUUGCCCCGAGAUGAGUUCUCCCUGAGACUUUAAGUCUCCUGAAGGAACGUUGAAGACGAUGACGUUGAUAGGCCGGGUGUGUAAGCGCAGCGAUGCGUUGAGCUAACCGGUACUAAUGAACCGUGAGGCUUAACCUU
rnacentral:rRNA from 1 species